rnacentral:misc_RNA from 1 species
AAUUAAGUUUCUUUUAAAUUUGAAUGUCAUUAACAAAACUUUUUCCAUUAUUUCAGCCGGUCAUUUGAAUCCUCACUCCCAAUACACCAACCAUGAAAAUUUUCACAAGUAAAAAUCUUCAAAAACAAAUGAUUAGUGGCAUUGGCAUAUAGUUCGGUAGUAAUACAAUUUGAAAGGAAUAUUAUUUAAAGACCACAGAAGCCUACUGGGGGUAAAAGAUCAAGGUAUGUUGAUCAAUUUUAUGCUAUGGAUGAGGUAUGGAAGACGACAAUUCUCUCAAAUUAACUCAUUUUGCCAUCACUAACAAUCUCUUUAACGCCUAGAAUCAACAUUGCAUCAAAUGCAGAAUAUGUAAGAAAAUGAUCAAAUGGCAUUUUCUUUUUUCCAUCAAAUAACAAUCAGGUCUUUUUACCUAGAGCUCUUUCAACAAACAAGGAGACAACGCAUAAAAGAUCCGCCAUUAAAACAACUCAGCUAAUCACUUUUGAGACCACACCUGCUCCAACUGUUCUACCUCCCUCUCUCAAGGCAAAUCUUUGUCCUGCUUCAAGGGGAACAGGUAAGAUCAGUUCAAAAGUUGCAGUCACAUUGUCCCCAGGCAUAACCAUCUUAACAUUUUCAGGCAACUCCACUUUCCCGGUGAUAUCUGCAGUCCUCAUGUAAAACUGUGGUCUGUAGUUGGAAAAGAAGGCAGUAUGUCGUCCACCUUCAUCCUUUGUGAGAACAUAUAUCUCUGCCUCAAAUUUCCGGUAUGUUUUCACAGUUCCAGGCUUCCCAAUCACCUGUCCUCUUUGCACAUCAUCUCGCUUUAGACCACGUAGGAGAAGACCCACAUUGUCACCAGCUUGUCCUUGAUCCAAAAUUUUCUUAAACAUCUCAACACCAGUCACUGUUGUUUUUAGAGGAGCACCCUGCAUUAACCCCAAAAUCUCUACUUCUUCACCAACUUUAAUGGUCCCUUGUUCAACACGUCCAGUUGCAACAGUUCCACGUCCCUGAAUUGAGAAAACAUCUUCUAUUGGCAUUAGGAAAGGUUUGUCAAGUUGCCUCACAGGGUCAGGAAUGUAUUCAUCCACGGCAUCCAUUAACUUCAAGAUGGCUUUUUUCCCAAUUUCUUCAUUUGUUCCUUGUAGAGCAGACAAUGCUGAUCCCUGAAUGAUAGGAAUUUCAUCUCCAGGAAACUUGUAGAAAUUAAGCAGUUCACGAAGUUCCAUUUCCACAAGCUCUAACAACUCUGGAUCAUCAACGGCAUCAACUUUAUUCAGGAAACAUACAAGUGACGGCACACCAACCUGACGAGCAAGCAGAAUGUGCUCCUUUGUCUGUGGCAUGGGCCCAUCAGGAGCAGAUACAACUAGAAUUCCACCAUCCAUCUGGGCAGCUCCAGUAAUCAUGUUUUUCACAUAAUCUGCAUGUCCAGGGCAGUCAACAUGGGCAUAGUGACGUUUAGCGGUUUCAUACUCCACAUGAGCCGUUGCAAUUGUAAUUCCUCUCUUUUUCUCUUCAGGGGCCUUGUCAAUUUCAUCAAAGGCUACAGCCUUGGCUUUACCUUCUUCUGCUAGAACCUUUGUAAUUGCUGCAGUUAGUGUCGUCUUCCCAUGAUCAACAUGUCCAAUUGUCCCCACAUUCACAUGAGGUUUAGUUCGAGUGAAGGUAGCCAUGGAUUUCCACCAUGGACCAGCAGAAACAGAGGUGGUGUCAUUUGUAGAGAGAGAACCAGAGAUUGAGAAGUUAGUGGAGACCGAUACCCGACAGCACCAGUAGAUUUGGGAAGAGAAUGGGAAAAUGCGUUUGGAGUUAGGGUGUCUGAGAGCCGCUGAAGCCAUUAAGAGAAAUGGAGAAUGUCCGGAAAGAGGAGGAGAGAGAGAGACACAGCGGAGGUUUUACUCUCGAGGGUUUUAGAGAGAAAUUGGGCAUUUGUUC